GUGCGCGCGCGCGUGUCUCUGUGUGUGCUUUCUUGUUCUCUUCCAGGGUACAAUGUUAAAAAGCCACCGCUAGUCGCCCCCAGUGCUCCGACUCUCUGGGUCUUUUUGUCUCUAGUGCAGAUUAAACGUCACGUCCGCACUUGAACUUGAAUUUUAUCCCAUUGUACAGAGGCAGCCCCAGCCAUAGAGAGACCGAGAGCUCCCGGAGAACCCGGACUCCGCCAUCUUCACGGUGCAAUCUAUAGCUCCCCGUCCGCGCCCGCACCGACCCAGGCGCGCUGGGCAGCGGCCCUGAGCCCGCUCGCCCUGGGCCCGCGGCGCCGGGGGAGCGCGGGGAGCGCUCGGGGACUCGGCACCCUCCGGCCGGCGCCAGCCCGCCAGGUGACCUGGGAAGCAGCCGCUCUUGGAGUCCCCCGAGCCUCGGAAGGAAAACAGCAUAGAAGAAAAAGCAAAAUAAAGAAGAAGAGGAGGAAGAGAGGGCAAGAGGAAGGGGGGGAAAAAGCA
rnacentral:lncRNA from 1 species